rnacentral:lncRNA from 1 species
AAUGUUCCGCCGCUGAAUCUAUUGGAGGACAGUUGCCUCGAACUGAAGCUGCUCCCUUCCAGCCACUAUCAGAGUGUCUGCACUCUCGACAAGGUCAAAUCCGCUCUGGAGAGAGCAGAGAAAGAGGCCUCGAAGAAGCGGUCGUCGCCUCCGAUGUCGCUUUCUUCGUCGUUGACGACCAGAGAAGAGGGAGAUGAUGAAGAAGAGAAGCAGUCGUGGUCGUUGUCUUCGACUUCCACGUCACCGGCGUCAUCGUCGGGGAUGUUUGCAGCGGGAUGUCCAGUGUGCCUGCUGUACGUGAUGACAUAUAGGAAAAACCCAAAGUGCCCUCGCUGCGACUCCAUUGUUCCGUCUCCAUCUGCUUUUAAGAAACCCCGAAUUGAUUUAAACGCA